rnacentral:rRNA from 1 species
CCUACGGGAGGCAGCAGUGGGGAAUAUUGCACAAUGGGGGAAACCCUGAUGCAGCGAAGCCGCGUGAGUGAAGAAGUAAUUCGUUAUGUAAAGCUCUUUCAGCAGGGAAGAAAAUGACGGUACCUGAGUGAGAAGCCCCGGCUCACUACGUGCCAGCAGCCGCGGUAAUACGUAGGGGGCAAGCGUUAUACGGAUUUACUGGGUGUAAAGGGAGCGUAGACGGCAGUGCAAGUCUGCAGUGAAAGGCGGGGGCUCAACCCGCGGACUGCGCCGGAAACUGUGCUGCUGGAGUGCGGGAUAGGUAAGUGGAAUUCCUCGUGUAGCGGUGAAAUGCGUAGAUAUUAGGAGGAACACCAGUGGCGAAGGCGGCUUGCUGGACUGUAACUGACGCUGAUGCUCGAAAGCGUGGGUAGCAAACAGGAUUAGAUACCCGUGUAGUC